rnacentral:lncRNA from 1 species
UAAUCUCAUACAUAUCCCAUGUCUUCGAGUAAAAUAUAGCUAAAAUAUGGAAUGAAGCAGCUACAUGUACAAAAGCCUUUUGACAGAAGGAUUCCAGAUGAGCUGGCAACCAUUUCCUGGAGAAAAAAAAUUCCAUUCCAACCUAAAACCUAUCCCAAUUUCCCCUUGCCGAACUCACACCGACAUUCCCCUCACCGAACCCAAACCAUUAAUUCCGGCCAACUUCAUUACCGUUCUCUUCACCAUCUCCGGUCGCUGUCUAUCCGUUCAACAACGAGGAAGGCAAUACUUCAUAGCAUUUUGACAAGGUGAGAUUUGUGGGUAUCUUAACAAAUUCUUUAUGGGUUUUUCGACAGUCAUUGUACACGUUUCGAAAAGGUAAGAUUUUUGGGUUUUUGAACAAAUUAGGACUUGAUGUUUUGUUGAAGACAUGGGAUAUGUAUGAGAUUGUUGAGUAGUGAAAUUGGUGUAGUUUAUAUUUUGGUAAAACUAUAAUGUAAUGUCUCUAUUUCAUAAAAUUGAGCAAAAACAAGAGGUGGCUUAAUUACGUUUGUGUAUAGCCAAAUUGAUAUAUCUGGCCUCCAAAUACUUCAUGUAAAUGUGAUGAAACUUGUAAAAUUCUCAGAGGAGGCCAUCUUGUCUGAAUUAGCCGAAGGUUUAGAUGUUCUAAUCUUUUGGAUAACUAUCACUUG